rnacentral:rRNA from 1 species
AGGGUUUGAUUUGGCUCAGGAUGAACGCUGGCGGCGUGCCUAACACAUGCAAGUCGAGCGAACCCUUCGGGGUGAGCGGCGGACGGGUGAGUAACGCGUGGGUAACCUGCCCUGUACACACGGAUAACAUACCGAAAGGUAUGCUAAUACGAGAUAAUAUAUUUUAAUCGCAUGGUUAAGAUAUCAAAGCUCCGGCGGUACAGGAUGGACCCGCGUCUGAUUAGCUAGUUGGUGAGGUAAUGGCUCACCAAGGCGACGAUCAGUAGCCGACCUGAGAGGGUGAUCGGCCACACUGGAACUGAGACACGGUCCAG